rnacentral:rRNA from 1 species
UGGAAGUAAAAAGUCGUAACAAGGUUUCCGUAGGUGAACCUGCGGAAGGAUCAUUGUCGAAUCCUGCAUAGCAGUACCACUAGCGAACUAGUUCACAAACUCAGGACCUAAUCUAGCGUAGGGGAAAUCCCAACGCUUGAUUUUGUUCCUAACGGUGCUCGGGCAUUUUGUCCUUGUGCCUAACAAACCCCCGGCGCGAGAAGCGCCAAGGAAUACUCUAACAAGGGCUAGAUCCAUCCUCUCCCGUCCGCGGGGCCUAGGGGAUUGGAGACAGCUUCUUACUAAACUGAAACGACUCUCGGCAACGGAUAUCUCGGCUCUCGCAUCGAUGAAGAACGUAGCGAAAUGCGAUACUUGGUGUGAAUUGCAGAAUCCCGUGAACCAUCGAGUCUUUGAACGCAAGUUGCGCCUGAAGCCAUUAGGCUAAGGGCACGUCUGCCUGGGCGUCACGCAUCGCGUCACCCCUCCACCAAUUCCGGUGGAUGGGGUGGAAUGUGACCUCCUGUGCCUAGCGGUGCAGUUGGUCGAAAUUUGAGUCCGGAGCUUUGACGUCACGGCAAGUGGUGGUUGGAUAACAACUCUCGUGCUGUCGUGUGCCAAACCUCUUGUGGCUGAAAAGACCCUAAUGCGCUUGUCAUCCUCCUCUUAUGGGGUGGAUUUCAUGUGCUACGACCGCGA